CCUACGGGAGGCAGCAGUGAGGAAUAUUGGUCAAUGGGCGGAAGCCUGAACCAGCCAAGUAGCGUGCAGGAUGACGGCUCUACGGGUUGUAAACUGCUUUUAUACGGGAAUAACGCGCCUUACGUGUAGGUCUUUGCAUGUACCGUAUGAAUAAGGAUCGGCUAAUUCCGUGCCAGCAGCCGCGGUAAUACGGAAGGUCCGGGCGUUAUCCGGAUUUAUUGGGUUUAAAGGGAGCGUAGGCCGGAUGUUAAGCGUGCUGUGAAAUGUCCGGGCUCAACCCGGGCCUUGCGGGGGAAACUGGCGUGCUUGAGUGCGCGGAAAGCAGGCGGAAUUCGUCGUGUAGCGGUGAAAUGCUUAGAUAUGACGCAGAACGCCGAUUGCGAAGGCAGCUUGCUGCAGCGGAACUGACGCUGAUGCUCGAAAGCGCGGGUAUCGAACAGGAUUAGAUACCCUUGUAGUC
rnacentral:rRNA from 1 species